UUCGUUCUUCCGCUCAAAUCCUGAUCUGGUCCAUUAAAGAGUGUUCGCAGACAAAGUUUCUGAAAGAUUAGAGAAGAAUCCCCCCCAAGAUUGCCCCAACACUGAACUACAGACAAACACUAUUUUAUUUAAAUAAGGAGACAGCUUUCUAAAAGUAUACAUUCUCUAAUAAAAAUAGUUUAUUAUUUUGAAUGAUUUAAUGGUUUUCUACACAAUUUACAUCACAACAUGUAAAUUUUAGCAGUAACAUCUGAUUCUAACAGCACAUCAUGCUAUUCCUUUCAUAGAGCCUUCAGAGAUUCAAUGCUAAACAAAUUUCCUUAGUUGGCAUCAAGGCACUGAUCACUUUAGAGGCUUUUAAGAAAUUAUUUAAAGAUGCAAAUGCCUCUGAGUGAAGUGUACUAUCCCAUCACUGAAGCCCACAGGAACAAGUCCUACAAUUUUAAAAAGGCUCGAUGGAAAAAUUUCUCAAUCCUGAAAUCCCCUAGGGAAGGGGUCAGGAGAAAGUGCCAUGGUUGAUAUUUAAGAACUCCACAGCUCUUAAAAAUAAGCACUUAUCCCUAACAUGCAAUACUGCAGAUGCAAGUUAAACUUAUCUGUUAACAGCUGCCUGCUGUUUUCUGCUCCCAGAUGAAAUGAAGCAACUCUUCUGAUAACGAAGAGAUACCUCUAUAGAAAAAAAAAAAGUUUCCCCUCCCUCAUCAACAAAAGCCCACCCUCUAAGAGACAUUCAAGCUGAACUAUCACAAUUCUUAAUCAGUUACAAUUUACAAACAGAUAAGUUUAAAAUAAACAAUUUACAAAAUUUUUGAAGCAUACCUUAACAUCUUGUUUUGCAGUUAAACAAUGGAAAAGUAUUUCUCCUACACUAAAAAAAAACUUGCUUACACACAACUGAAAAUAGAAUCUUACUUGAUAAUACAAAAGCUACCAUCAGAAGAAAUCCCUUCAGGAUCAUUAAGCCACUUCCUUUGCUCUGCAGUUUCUAUAGUAGUUUUAAAUUAUUAUUAAAUCACCUGAAAAAAAUUCCAAAAGAGAACCACACACUACCAUAUCCAAACAACUUUUGCAUUUCCCAUAAUUGUAGUUAAUGUCAGCCCAGUAGGCCAGACCAACCCCCAGUUCAAUACUUUCCUUCCCCAAAAGCUCUAUACUUUGAAGGAAAACAGAUACAGUAUCAAAUUAUGACACUUUCCUUGCCCAAAUUAAUGCACUGGUACACCCAGUGGCUCAUAUUUAACUUCCCCCAGCUUCCCAAUUCAAACUGGGGGGAAAAAAACUAAAUCAUUGGGAGUUACUUGCCAACUUGGAAGUUGAUAUUUCUUUACUUUUUCCAUUCUAAGACUUUAAGUUCUCUGGCAUGAGUUUAUCUGCAAUCAUAAACUAAACAAUUACCUAAACCCACCCCACCAAUCCCAACCGUAACAGGCCACUGCCAACUAAUUGCCAAUAUUUGCCCCUCCCCUUUAAUAAAACUUUUAAGAAGUCACAUUAUUGGAAAACUUAACUUCAACAUUUGGCCUACUCAAGCUCUUCUGAAGUUCUCCUGAGAUGACUGAAUAUGAACCAAAGCUGCACUGUGCUGUACUUUUCAGCUUCAACUGGGAAUACUCUUCCAAGGAUAAAAGCAGCUCCAGUCCCUGAAGGUGUUCGUGCCAACAGCACAGCGGUACACUCCUUCUCUAACCCAGUUUGUCAAUAGUACUAUAGCAUCUGUGGAAAAUCUUAGAAAAAAACACCAGCCAUUUCUCCAAUGGACAUCUCUUCCACAGACCUCAACGUGAGAACUGCUCUAGUUUCUAUAAACUGUAAACCUGUGGUGGUCUGAUUAUCCUGAUAUUGGAUUUUCUUGUUUUCUGUUACACCUUGAGUCAUUUGCUUUUUCAGUGCUAUUUUAUCCAAUUUUUGGCUUUAUAUUUUUCUAUCUUCUAUACUUCUCCAAUACUUGUCUUAGCUUGUUUUUCAUUUUCUAUCUGAAACUCUUGACAAUAUUUUCAUUUUCUAUCUUGUUUCUAUCUUCCAAUUUUCUUCUAAGUUUGUACAUUUUGCCCUUAGCUUUUUGUUUCCUAGCUUGUCUUUUUUCUUCUGCUUCCUACUUUUCAGGUUUAAAUUUAUCUUUUUUCUUCUAAAAGUAUGUUUUUAUCUUCUAAUUUCCCUAUCUUCUCUAUUCUUUUCUUCGCCUUCCCGUACUUCUGUCUUCCAGUUUUCCACUUCAAACUUCUAUCUUCUCCAAAUUGUUUCAUCCUACCACUCCCAAUUAAUCUUUCCAUUUUCGUCUGCGUUUAGUAAAUGCGUUAACUAGGCUUUAAAUGACGCAAUUCUCCCUGCGUCAUGGAUUUCAAGGUCUUUUAAUCACCUUCGGUUUAAUCUCUUUUUAAAAGAUCGCCUUCAAAUUAUUUUAAUCACCUACAACUUUUAAACUAAACUUUAAGCUGUUUAAGUCACCUUCAUUUUAAUCUAAAAGCAUUGCCCUUCUAUUGGUAUUAAUUCGGGGCUCUGUAGUCCUUUCUCUCAAUUUUCUUUUAAAUACAUUUUUUACUCCAUGAAGAAGCUUCAUCUCAACCUCCGUCAUGUUUUAGAAACCUUUUAUCUUUUCCUUCCUCAUGCUACUCUUCUAAGUCUUCAUAUUUUCUCUUAAAAUCUUAAGCUAUUAAAAUUACGUUAAAAACUUAACGCUAAGCAAUAUCUUAGUAACCUAUUGACUAUAUUUUUUAAGUAGUUGUAUUAAUCUCUAUCUUUCAAUUUGAAAAGGGUUAAUUUCCUUAAUAUGUAAAGAGCUCUUAUUAUUAAUCAGUAAGUAUACAACCCAAUAGAAAUACAAAUCCAAACUACAAUUAAAUACUAUUUUCCACUUCUCACAUUGACAAAUAACCAAGUUUAAGGGCACAGCCUGGGUGAAGGUGUGGGGAAAUGUCAAUGGGACCAACCUCCUUGAGGUGGAAGCUGGGGGUGUCCAUCAUAUUUAGAAAUUUACACAUGCUGUGCCCAGAAUUCCUCCUGAGGAAACUUUUCUCUCACAGAUAUACUUGCCCAUGUACAUAAAAACCCAUGUACACAGAUAUGCGGUAUAGCCUUAUCUACAGUAAAAAUUGCUGAAACAACUUAAUGGUUCCCCAAAAAGGGAAUGGGUAAUUCAAACACGGCUACCACACAGAUGUUGAAAAGACCAAGGCAGACAUGAAUACAGAUAUGCGGUGCUUACCUAGAUGUACUAGUAACUCAACAGUCCACAGUGCAAGACAGGCUGUGUGGUGUACCCACGCCUGUACAGCUUUACACAUACACAGGUUCUCUGGAAAGAAACUGCAGCAACUGGCCAUGACGGUGGCCUCUGUGGGAAGGGAGGCUGGGGGUUAGAGAAAGAUGCCACUGAAUCACCCACAGGGUUUGAAGUUCAAACAUGUGCAGGUAUGGCUUUGAACAGUUUUCACACAUCUAUUCAUAGGUGAAAUUAACUGGAAGGAAACUAGCAAAGCAUUUGCCUUUGGGGUCAGCACAGGAGCAGAGGCCCAGGCAGGGCCUUGCUUUGACACACAGAUGAUGGGUCACACAGUUGUCACCUUGACAGAAGAGUAACAGGGACAGCACACCAGUCACUCUAGGAGCUGAGGCCAGAGGAACUCAGGUAUUUCCUUCUAGAGGUAGUAAGUCCACCGAGGCAGAUGCCAAGCCGGGUGGUGCCUCGCUGUGUACAAUGUUCUGCUCCCUGUGCCCCUAUGAGUGACCCUAUGAGGUAAGAGCCAGAGCCGGGCUCACACCUGAGCUCCUGGCAUGUGGCGGCCCUUUAGAAGACAGAAAGUGUGUGCUUAGCCCCUGAAGCAGCCACGCUGUGCCCAGCGGAGGGCAGGCGCAGACAGCACUCCUUCCCAGACCAGGAUGCCACUUAAGAUUUCAACAAACUAAACAGACAAGUGAAUAAAAGAUCAUUAAAUACCACUUUUUACAAAUGUCACAGACGCUUUCCUAGAAUAGUUUGUUUUUGGUUUAUUUAAUCUGUGUAGGGGAAAGAAUACCAGGAAUUAGACUCUGGGGCCUGCAGGACCCACUACUGUUUUGUGCUAAGCCAGGCACCGUGUUAUACUCGAUUCCGGUAUGGACAGGCAGCUGCAGCCACUACGCAGUUUUACCCCAGUUCCACGGCACAUGAGGAGAGGACCAACAUUAUUCUAUUUUGGCAGCACGUGCUUUCAACCCAUCUCACAAAACAGUGUCACCAACCAGAUGUGCCAAGAGCCAGAGCAGGUGAAGACACCUACAGAUGCUGCCUCCUCUGGACACUGCCUCUGGGUGCCUCAGCUCUGCACCCAGAGGGAUGCAAAAGAGAUCCCCGCAGCACACUUUGAGAUGGCUAGGAAACUGCAAAUAACCUCAAAGCCAUCACUAGAAAAAUGGUUAAAAUGACCAUACCAACACGUACAAUAUGACAUGUUAUAGAGCCAUAAAAAUAACAGUACACCUUGUAUGAUUCCAUUUUAGGGCAGAGAAUAAUAGGAUACAUUUUAGUACAUCCACAGCCAGAAAAUGUCUGAAGGAAUAUAAAUGAAGUUGUCAUUAGUAGUUAUCUUAGGGGUCCGGGAUUAUAGAGGAACUUUUAUCUUCUACAUGGCCUUUUUCUAUAGUGUUUGAAUUUUAAUUACAAGACCAGUGAUUUAUAAAUUCAUACACUCCACAGCCCCAUCCAUUACAAUAGCACAUAAUAUAAUAACAUUAGCCAUGGACUUACCUAAAUCUGCAUAAUUUUGGUCUCUUCAGGACAGUUGCUGCAAUGCAGGCAUAAGCAGAGGACAAAGCCACAGUGUGACCUGGGUGCAGAGCACUGGGUUGGGCAUCACCAGCAGACACAUGACAAAAGCAAUUUAAAAAAUUAUACCUUGACAAAAUUAUACAUGAUUAUAUGUCUUGGACCCUGGGGGCCUUGUCAGCAUUAAGCCCAUGAAUGCUAAAUUCACACACAGAUGACAAGAAUCUACUGUACCAAUUACAGUCUUAGUAGGUCACUGCAUACAUGAUAGAUCAAAGAUGGCAACUAGCAGAAACUUAAGUUUCAUAUAUGGAGCGUCGUAGAGGAUAUGAACAACAGAUACUCUCAUACUUAGGUAUGCAAAGCUGGACACCCACUCUGGAGGGCAACAGGGCAGAAUGGAGAAAAAUGUCGGACUCACGCCCUAUGACCCAGGAAUUUCACUUCUUGGUACCUACCCUGAGAAACACUCAUGCAUUGUGCACAAGGGGUUGUGUAUGACGAUGAUCGCACAGAACUGUUUGUAAUAUCAAAAGAUUAGAAUACUGUAAAUUUCCAUUAACAGCAGAAUGGCUAAACUCACAGACAUACAGUGCAGAAGUUGAAAACAAUGAGGGCAGUUCUCUGUGUACUCCCAGGCAUCUCCCUACUGUUAAAUGAAAAAAAGUAAUCAAUAAUGUACAGGACACAAUAGCAUUUUACCACUUCUAUAGAAAAGAAACCAUGCAACACGUUUUUCAGAUACAAAUGGAAGUGAAUAAGGCGAGGUGUAGCAGGAAACACAGCAAACUGGUAACACUGGUUACCCCUCUGGAGGGUGGGGGAUUGGUAGUGCCAACGUUGUUGUCGUCACCUUUCAACUCUGUGUAAGGAGAAAACACCCACAUAUCACUUCUACAAGGACACUGAGAAACAGUGUUGUUGAGAGGCUGAGAGGCAACCUAGUCACCAUGGAUGGGAGAACUGAUAAACUAACUGAGGUAUAGUCACAUGAUGAGCUCUAUCCAGUAAACAAACUAAAUGAACUAUCCCCUGGGCAAGGGCUGAAUCUUACCAUGGUAUUAAAUGAGAAUGUUCCAUAAGAUUACAUGCAAAAUAAUAAAUUUUCUCUAAGAACAGCUAAAAUAUAAAUAUAUACUCUGAAAAACACAUUUAGAUCAGAUUCUUUUGCAAAAUUAUAUGAAAAGAAAGCAAGUGAGAGAUAAACCCAGGAUUCAGGAUGAUUAUUACCUUGGCCUAGGGGGUGGCAGGAGGCGGCAGGGGAGGCGGGUGGUGUGGGACCACAUAAGUGGAAGGUGUAGUAAAAUCUCAGACUUCACUACUGUAGAACUCAUAUAUAUGACCAAAAGCCAUUUGUACCCCAAAAGCCAUUGAAAUUAAAUAUAUAUAUAUACACACACACACACACACAUAAAGAAAAAAAAAGAAAAUUAUAAGAAGUUAAUAUUGACAGACCUGGAACAAAAAAUCAAAGACAGUAUUUAGUCAUUAAAAUUUUGCUAUUUCAAUUUCAUCAGUGUAAAUAAUUAAUUUAAGUGGAGAGGAGUGUUCAUUGUAACCAUAGGAGUUACUGUCUGUAUUGUCCUAGUUUUUGUAUUGGAUAGGAGAUUCAGAAAUGCUUACCACAUUAUUAAAAAACAAUUAAAGAAAGCAAGUAAAAGAGAGCCAUGUUGUGUCCUGAAUCAAAGAUUAAGAUUGAGAUUUACCCAGUUCUGUGUAUUUGAGUUCCAACAGAGAGAAUAUUCUUGCCUUACAGGAGUGUUCUAGCCUCCAUUUACCAGAUUUUAAAGCAUAAUGAAAAGUGAUGAUCAUUACAUUCCAUUGCAUUUUAUUAACAACAACAACAAAAACUGGAGCCUAAAAUUUCCAGAAAUAGAUCCAGAGAGAAAAUGUUAAGAACCAUUUGAUCUAGCAAUCCCACUCCUGGGUAUCUACCCAAAGGAAAAGAAGUCAUUAUACCAGAAAGACACUUGAUGGCAGUACAAGUCACAAUUGCAAAGAUGUGGAACCAACCCAUCAACCAGUGAGUGGAUAAAUAAAAUGUGGUAUCUCUACACCAUGGAAUAUGACUUAGCAAUAAAAAAGAACAAAAUAAUGUUUGUGGUUUUUUUUUUUUUUGCAGCAAUUUUGGAUGGAGCUGGAGGAUAUUAUUCUAAGUGAAGCAACUCAGGAAUGGAAAACCAAAUACUGUGUGUUCUCACUUAUAAGUGAGAGCUAACUUAUGGGUACAAAAAGGUAUACAGAGUGACAUAAUGGACACUAGAGACUCAAAGUGGGGAGGGUAAGAGGGGGGCAAGGUAUAAAAAACCACAUAUUGGGUACAAUGUACACUACUCAGGUGACCGGUGCAGUAAAAUCUCAGACUUCACUACUGUAGAAUUCAUCUAUAUGACCAAAAGCCAUUUGUACCCCAAAAGCCAUUGAAAUUAAAAAAAAAAAAAUACACACACACACACACAUAAAGAAAAAAAAGAAAAUUAUAAGAAGUUAAUAUUGACUGACCUGGAACGAAAAAACCAAGACAGUAUUUAGUCAUUAACAUUUUGCUAUUUCAUCAAUGUAAAUAAUUAAUUUAAAUGGAGAGGAGUGUUCAUUGUAAUCAUAGGAGUACAUACAUGUUUAGCUACUAAAGAAAAAGUAAUCAGAAGCAAAUUCAAUGGACUUAUCAGUUAUUAUUAUUAGACUUAUCAAAGACUUAUCAGACUGAUUUUUAAAGUCCUGGUAUAAUAGGUGCUUUUUGCACCAACAAUAACAGGAAAAAUGGAGGAUAAGGUUUACAAUCAUAAGUGGCAAAUGUGGCCUUCCCAAUGAUACUAAGAGUUCAUGAUCAUUAUAAAGGUCAAUAUGAGAAUUUCACAUGGUUAGUGGUCAAAGAGGAAAAAUGCAGAGAGAAACUGUGGUAAAAUAGAAAAUUAUAAAAACCAUUCGAUCCAGCAAUCCCACUACUGGGUAUCUACCCAAAGGAGAGUAAAUCAUUAUACUAAAAAGACACCUGAUCAUAGCACAAUUCAGAAUUGCAAAGAUAUGGAACCAACCUACAUGCCCAUCAACUGAUGAGUGGAUAAAGAAAGGUGAGUACAGAAAUAUAGACUAAGACAACUAAAAUACCUUAAAAGUACCUUAUAACGUUGGAUUUGGCAAGGAUUUCUUGGAUAUGACACCAAAAGCACAGACCACAAAAGUAAAAACAGAUAAAUUAGACUAUUUCAAAACUAAAAACUUCUAUACAUCAAAGAACACAAUCAACAAAGUGAAAAAGUAACCUUAUGGAAUAAGAGAAGAUAUUUGCAAAUCAUAUAUCUGAUAGGGGAUUAAUAUCCAGAAUAUAGAAAGAAACUCCUACAAGUCAACAACAACGAUAACUCUAAUAACCCAAUUUUUAAAAUAGUCAAAGGACUUGAAUAGACAUUUUUCCAAAGACAACAUACAAAUGACCAGUAAGCAUAUGAAAAGAUGCUCAGCAUCACUCCUCAUUAGGGAAAUGCAAAUCAAAACCACAAUGAAAUGUCACCUCACACCCACUAUGAUGGCUGCAAUCUAAAAAAAGCAGAAAAUAACAAGUGUUGGGGAGGAUGUGGGAACCUCGGAACCCUUGUGCACUCUUGGUGAGAACGUAAAAUGGUGCAGUUGCUAUGAAAAACUACAGUGGUUCCUCAAUAAAUUAAAAAUAGAAAUAUCGUAAGAUUUAGUAAUACCACUUCUGGCUAUAUACUCAAAAGAACUGAAGGUAGGAUCUCAAAAAGAUGUGUGUACAUUACAGCAUUAUACUUGUAAAUACAAUAAUAUAGAUAUUUGUACAUAGCACCAUUAUUUACAAUAGCCAAAAGCAACCCAAGUGUCCACUAAUGGAUGAAUGGAUAAAAAAAAGAUAUAAAAUAAGAAUAUUAUUUGGAUCUUUUAAAAAGGAAGGAAAUUCUGACAUAUGCUACAACAUAGACGCAUCUCGAGGACACUGUGCUCAGAGAAAUAAGCCAGUCACAGACAGACAAAUACUUCAUGAUUUAACUGAUAUGAAGUGCUUGGAAUAGUCAAACUCACAGAAACAGAAAGUAGAAUGGGGUUGCUGAGGCUGGAGGGAAUGGAAUGUUUAAUGUUAUUUAAUGGGUACAGAGUUUGUUUUGCAAGAUGAAAAAGUUCUGGAGAUUGGUUGUACAACAAUGGCGACAUACUUAACACUACUGAAUGUAUACUUAAAAAUGAUUCAGAUAGUCAACUUCUAUUAUAUGUAUUUCACCACAAAAAUUUCUUAAAGUAGCAAGAAAUAAAUAAAAUUGUAAAAACCUGAUGUUAGUGGCUAUGUAGGGAAAUGGAUAUCAUAUACUCACAACAGGAAGUGUAGCUUUCUGGAGUCAUUUGAGUCUGUGAAGAGAGUUAUAAAACCAUAAGUGCUCACUGCCGAGGCAAUGCCACUCCAGGGGAUACAUGUGUACACUAAAUUUACAGAGAUGCUCACAGCUGCACGAUUUAAAGUAGUCAAAACAGUUUAACAGCUCAAGAGAUGGGCUACAUAUCCUUUAGUAUAAGCACAAUGGCAUAAAAUCAUGCAAUCAUUCAUUCAUGAUCUUUUUUGAGCACGAACAAGCAGAUGAAAGUUAUGCUUUCCACAGAAAAAUACAAUUUCAGAGCAUUUAUAGACUUCUAGAAACCCAUCCAUGGGACUUCCUUUGGGAAGGUUAAGAAUCCUGAGAAAAAGCCUCUUCAAAUGUGUUUGUGAACUCUGCCGGUACAGGGAAAUACUACUGGAAACAAAAUUAAGUGUAGAAACAGACCAGACCAGAAUAUACAUGCUGAUUCCCGUUACAUGAAAGGUCCAGCGCCAGGCGGGCAGGCAGCCAGCCACAGAAAAGGGAGAGGGGCCCAGGAGGAAGUGGCUAGACCUGACGCUAGGCACCAGGGGAGGCGGGGAAGGAGGGCAGAGGCAGGAGAGUUCACUGUGAGAGCUCAACAAGGAGUAGCUGCUGCCAAACAUCUACAUUCAUUUACCCGCAUUUCACAGACACAGGCUUGGGGAGGUUAAGUAACUUGCUCCCAGACAUAAAGUUGCCAAGUAGUCCAGUCAGGAUUCGAACCAGCUCCAGUGCCCUAUUAGGUCCAAAUCCACUCAGAUGGGGAAAUGGAGAGUCAGGGACAAGCAACAACCAGGGGCCCAUUCAGGAAACAUCAGCCUGCCCUCAAGGUCUUCUGAAUUGAACCCUGCCACUGUGACAACCACCCUCACAGGACAGGGCUCUCUGGCCACAGGAGGUGGGUUCUGAGAGCACCAUGCCCCUCCUCACACAAACACAGAUUCCACAACACACACCACGGGGAAGAAGGUUUAAAUGUAAAAAACGAAACCAUACAAGUUCCAUAAGAAAGUAUGGAUUAAUAUUUAUGUACUCUUGGGGUGGAAAAGAUCUACACAUAACAAGUUCAGAAACCACAGUGAUAAACUAACCUAAGAAAAUCGUUUAACUUUUAUCUACCUGAAACACAAAAUUAAAAGGCAACCUAUAAACUGGAAAAAAAUAUUUGCAUCAAAUAUAACAAAAGAUUAUCAAUAUCCUUAAGAUGUAAAUGGCUUUUGCAAAACAAUCAAUAGAAAAAUGACUAGGAAUUAGAAAAUCAUACACACACACACACACACACACGCACACACACACACACCACAAAUGGCCAAUUGACACAAGGUAGAGAUGUUCAGUCACCAGCAGACAAAGCAAUGCUCACAUCCAGAGGGAAAGCAGACUCGAUCCGUCGGAGGAGCAAAGGUUUUCAAUGUGAUAAAGCCGGUUCUGAGGAAGAGGGGAAGGCAUCAGGUUUGCCUCACCAGUGAGAACACUAAUUGAAAAAAUCCCUCCCUGCUGGGCAGUUUAGCAAUAUGAACCUGAAGUCUUAAGAGUUUAACAGUCAUUUCCUUCUCGAAAUGUAUGUAUUCAGCAUUCCCAAAGAGAUAACAACAGACGUGAAAAAGUCUGAGCUACAAGGAAAGUCAUCGCAAGUAUUAUUUUCUAAGAGGAAAAAAAAACUAGAAAAUACCCUGUAUGCCCAUUGAAACAAGAUUGUUUAAAUUGAUACAGCCAUGCAAGGGAACAUCCUGUCAUCAUUAAAAAAGGUGUUCACUAUAUAUUAAAGUCACAAAAUAGAAUUUAUGGCAUAAUCCCAUUUUUGUUUAAAAAUGUACUUAUCCCAUGCAUACAAAAGAAAUCUUCCAAAAGCAAAUGUGCCCAUAACAAUUGUUACUGGUAAGAUUACUGAGGACUUUUAAAAAAAAUUUCCUUAUUUGCAAACUUUACAGUAAACUUUUUUUUUUUACAUAUUAGAACUCAAUGAAGAAUUAUUUAAAAGAGAGGAAAGGCAGUGCAGGGCUGGAGGUCCUGGAGGGUGGCGGCGGGUCGUCCUAACUAGCAGGCUGAAAGGUGCUGGAGGGGAUGCCUUCACUCAGAGGAAGUUCACAGCCACCUGCCUUGGAACAUGUACCUGUUCAUCUUUUCGUAAUGUUAGUAUUCAUUUUGCUAUCUUCCUGUUGCCAUUUCCAAACAGUGUCAGUAUGUUUUUGUUAAAUACGAACAUUUAAAACAUAUCGUAUCUGUAAGCCUAUUUGGGUGUCUUCAUUUCAUGCCCGCACUGCACCAUAAUGAGUACCACACAAAGCCAGAGGAUGACACUUCCUCCAGAGGUCUCACUGCACAUGGAGAGGUUAGCCCUGGCAUUAAGGGUCCUUGGAAUCUCUCAGCAGUCAUAGUCAGUCAGAUGCACCAAGGGCAGCUGAGUCAAUCUCCUUUUUGUAACAACAGGCCGUUCCUGCGGUUCUCAGUGCUGCCAACCUGGGCAUACUGAAGAGCCUCAACCAAUACUGGCUCUCAGGGUACUUUCCUUUUUAAAAGAAGUUCAACUUUUGCUAUUCUUAUGCCCCAUAACUUUUAAUUUGCACAAGAUCAGCCAUGCCCACUCACUGAAUUCUAUUAUAUUACCCACACCUCUGGAAAUUCACAAAGUCUGAAUUCAGAUCUAUGCAUAAGGAUGCAAACGGAUUAGCAAUAAUUGCUGGCACUGCCAUCAACACCUCCUGUCGAUCUCACCUGAUCUGAGGAUAAAUGAAGGCAAAGAAUGUGGCCCCAGCCCCUGGAUUGGAGUGGAGGCAAGGAGGGUGGCGAGCUGUCUUCAGCAGUCGGCCUCACCUCUCUGCUCCUGUAUCAACAAGUGCCAUUUCAUCCCCACUUCCAAUCCCCAACAUUUAUACCCCGUGAAUCAAUUCUUCUUCAGCAUGCCAGUUGCUGGAGACAGCACCAUUUACAUACAGGCAUCUAUAGCAGUUAUCUUCCAGGGUGGAAGCAAGAGUUUUGUAAUCAUAAAAAACAGGACGAGAAACAAGGAGUUCUGAAAAGAAGAGAAGGCGGUUAUAGAGGUGCUGGGGUAAAAAGCAAAGCAAAGGGGUAAGAUAGGAAAGGAGGCCUGGAUUGUUUCUGGGGCAUCCAGGGAAAGGAGUUGCAAGCAGAAAGAGGACCCUGGAUUCUGCACACAGCAGUGCCCCAUCUUGGAGAUGCCAUGAGCACAGACAGAAGGUUUACUAGGUGGGCGGCACAGUGACUUCUCCCCAGCACUCCACCCGUUUGUCAGUAGUGUACACGUGGAGGGGUCACCAAGAUAUAACGGCACAGGCAAAUAAGACACAGUUGCAAGGACGGCAACCAGCCCUGCAGCUCAUGGGAAGGAAAGAAUCCUUCAGGUCAUGAUCCCCCACCAUUUGUGUUGGUCCCCCUGGCUAGUCCCAGUUCAGCCCUUAUCUCCCCUUCUCAGGCAAACAGGCCCAGGUGAGUAGAACAAGCCUCCCUUGCUGCUCCCUUUGAAACAAGCACCUUCCUUCUCAGCACAGAGGCUGGCAGUGGCUUCCAUUCUACGCCCAAAGUUUGUCUCCUGUAAGCAAAACCUUACACCCCAAGAGGUAACACAGAACAGCAGUGCAAGGACAGAACAGUCCCACCCAGGAGACAGAGGCAGUUUGCAAGCCAAGAUGUAUCCUCCAGAUUCCACGUGAUCCUGCUCACACCUUUGCACAGCCUCUGCUUGCUUACUGUAGCACGCACACAGGGAAGCCCAGACGUUUUAGUCACUCACCAAAAGGAAAAAAACAAGGCAAAUUCUUUAGUGAGGUAAGAAUUACGCAUACACUUAGACCCAAAUCCCAGGCACAUUCCAGCCUCCCAAAGACUAUGGAAUAUGCAUAUUAUGUGUCCAUUUCUGUUUUUAUUCAGGCUUUCCCCUAACCAAACAAAAAUAAGUACCACUUAGAACUCUAACCAGGUAAUGUUUUAAAAUAUUAUGGCAAAGUACUCCCCACCUACACACCCACCUUCAUUGGCUUGAGUGGUUUCAUCACAUUUCAAACCAAUGAUUACCAACUCUCAACAGAGAGCAGAUCCCAUCCCCACUCAGCAGUCUGCAGACCACUUGGGAUAAUACCAGUUCUAUCUGUGGUUACCAUGCUCUCCUACAUGGCCUUAAUUACUUGGAGCUAGCAAAUCUAGACCUAAAUCUACAAUAUGAAGAUACAUCCAAAGUCGUUAUGAAGGCAAUGUGAUAGGGGUCGAGAAAUGUAACAUAGCAAUACAACAAUUCUAAUGAGUUUAGAACUCAAACUUUAUUUGUGCUGUAAAGGGGAAGAAAAGUGAUUAGUAAUUAUGUACAUGACGUAACAGAAUUAGUUCUUACCAUACAGAGCAACAUACCAGUACUUUCAACCAUCUACUUUUACAGUUUCAAUUUCACAACAGCAUACCCGAGACUACUUCCCCAUACAUGCGUGACUAAUACACUCUAAAUCCCAACGACAGUAAUUGUUUGCAUCAUCCCCAAGUCAUUGGUUAAGAACUGAACUACCAUGUCAACAUAUUUUUAAACAUUUAAAAAAUGGAACCCAGAAGACAGAAAGAUCCCAACGAUAAAAAUAACCAUGAUUUUUAAAAUUUCAAGUGAAACUUAAAGGGAAGAAGGAAAUGAUAAAAAGCCAUUGGUAUUACUUUACCAAUUCAAUAGACGCAGCUCAGAACCAAGCAGGGUUUUCAGAUCACACAUGUAGUAAAGGCACCUCGCCCACUCUCUCCCCACAAUCCCCAUCCCCUUCCCUUUUUAGGUCUUGUUUUCCAAACUGAUUUUAGGUGAUAGUUUCCCCUCUAGUCUUGGCUCAUUUAAAAAGCACAAACAUUCAAAUUAAAAAUACAAUAAAUUAUUCAUUCUAACCUUAGCAAAGGUACAUGGAUUCUGUCUACCAAAUAUUAAUUUUACAGUGACCACAAAAGGUUAUUUGGUUGUUACAAAGACUACAAUUUGAAGAUACUAGAUAGGCAAAAAUUUUGCCAUUAUUAAUAUCGACCAAACACAGAAAAGACAACAGAUGUGUUUCUAAGGCACGAUUUACAUACUAAAUUCCCUUGAAAUUCAAUGCAAUUUCACUUCGCUCAUGAUUUUCAAUCACAAGACACCUGUGACAAAUGAGGAACAAAUCCAGAAGAGCCCAUCUAAUCUCGUCUUAAGAGACCUGCCAUUUCUCACACACAGAUUUAGGAAUGACCAACUUGUACCCUCCCAGCGUUUAGCACAACACAAUGACACCCUUAAUUUGACAAUCUGCUUCCUCUAAUAUAUCCCCAGUCUAAGGCAUUUAAAAUUAAACAGCUCUUCAACGCCCCAAGUUAUUUCAUCAGGCUAAGAACUUCUCCGAGAAACGCACAAGAAGGCAGGCAAACAGGUGGGUAGGUGAGAGGUCACGGGGCUCCAUCUGCAAGCUCCAUCUACAAGGCAUCAAUCUGCGUUGUGGCAUCAACGUUAAAAUGUUCUACAGCUUAGGGAUCUUCUUGAAGCAAGGUUCCAAGCACAAAACUAGUAUGACCGGAGGCUCAAUUUAGAAGAUGCAGCAUCUGAAAACCUUUACCCCAGGAAAGGAGGGGUGCCUGCUGGCAUUCAUGGGCUCUGGAACAAGCAUUUAUUCAAAGCUGAUGGCCCCUCGAGCCGGAUGCAUCUGCUGUGGACUUUUUAAGAUUGCCCCCCAUAAGCUCAUCUGCAAACUUUAAAUGGUAGCCUCCUGAAUACAGGGCUUCCUGAGCAAGGCCUGGAAACAGAACAUUGGAGAACUUCCUCCUCCUAAGCCUCUGGAAAUUCAAUCUGCAGGCAUCAAUUGAGGCGGGCUCUCUCCUCCAGGGUCUCCCCUCCUGCAAUGCUAGGACUCACGGCUGCUGCGGCCUAUUCCUCCUGACUCCUCCACCCCUUCUACCUCUCCCUGCCUUCCUCCUUCCACACAGACCAGCGCACCCGGGCUCGCUCAGCUAUGCAAGAGCGGCGCCCUCCCAGAGGUCAAGUUCCCCCUCCACCAGGCAGUAGGGACAGCCUGGCCUGGAGCGUGGCUGUUCUGCCUGGGGGACCCUGCGGAUAUUUUCCAUGCAGCCUGCCCCACUGUGGUCCCCCUAGACCUAGUCUCCUUGCCAAGCUUCCUUCUCGCACCCCCAGCCCGCCCCCUCGUCUCAUCUAACUCAGUCAUCUCUCCCUGUCUGUCCCCUGAAGCCCUGAGCUAGCCACUUCCUCCCCCACAACUACACCCAGGCGCGCAUCCCUCCCUGUCGCUAACUCCGGCUGGACUUGCCACAACUUUUGCUUUUAUAGCCCUCAGCCGCGUCACCGGGGUCAUUGCUCAACGGGACGAUUCCUCCACGGCCACCGGCAAAAAAGUCCCUCCCCGACCCUGCCCGGAGAGACUCCCGGGCGGUGCAUGGUCUCCCAGGCGGCCCCCACGCAAGGACCCCAGUGUAUCCCCGCUUCUCUUUAACAGUGCUUUUUGGGAUCGCGGACAGCGCUCAAGGUGACAUUUGGGAGGCGAAUGCCAUGAGGAAGAAGACCCCUUUUCUUCCCGGAUGUUGUUGAGGUCGGGCGGGGGACGCGCUUCCCCGAGAGGGGCUGGGGGCGUGGCGGGCGGGGGCGCCCUCUUGAGUGGGCGACGGGAGCCGCCGGGGUCGCUUGAGGUCACCACGCCCAGCCGAGGCCCGAAAGAAGGGCCGGCAGGACAUCUGGAAAAUUCCAGGCGGCGGCGGAGGGAUCUCUGCAGAGGGC
rnacentral:lncRNA from 1 species